GUCUACGGCCAUACCACCCUGAACGCGCCCGAUCUCGUCUGAUCUCGGAAGCUAAGCAGGGUCGGGCCUGGUUAGUACUUGGAUGGGAGACCUCUCGUGACAAUAACGCUGUAUGGU
ensembl:rRNA 5S_rRNA 5S ribosomal RNA